rnacentral:rRNA from 1 species
UACGUAGGGACCAAGCGUUGUUCGGAUUUACUGGGCGUAAAGGGCGCGUAGGCGGCUUAACAAGUCACUUGUGAAAUCUCCGGGCUUAACUCGGAACGGCCAAGUGAAACUGUCAAGCUAGAGUGCAGAAGGGGCAAUCGGAAUUCUUGGUGUAGCGGUGAAAUGCGCAGAUAUCAGGAAGAACACCCGUGGCGAAAGCGGCGCGCUGGACCACUACUGACGCUGAGGAACGAAAGCUAGGGGAGCAAACAGG